rnacentral:rRNA from 1 species
UGAGGAAUAUUGGUCAAUGGGCGCAAGCCUGAACCAGCCAUCCCGCGUGCAGGAAGACGGCCCUAUGGGUUGUAAACUGCUUUUCCAGGGGGAGAAUUUUUCUGUCGUGACAGGAAUUGACGGUACCCUGGGAAUAAGUAUCGGCUAACUCCGUGCCAGCAGCCGCGGUAAUACGGAGGAUGCGAGCGUUAUCCGGAUUUAUUGGGUUUAAAGGGUGCGUAGGCGGAUUGAUAAGUCAGUGGUGAAAACCUGCAGCUUAACUGUAGACUUGCCGUUGAUACUGUCAGUCUUGAGUGUGGUCAAGGUAGGCGGAAUGUGUAAUGUAGCGGUGAAAUGCUUAGAUAUUACACAGAACACCGAUUGCGAAGGCAGCUUACUGGGCCAUUACUGACGCUGAUGCACGAAAGCUUGGGGAUCGAACA